rnacentral:rRNA from 1 species
UGGGGAAUUUUGGACAAUGGGCGAAAGCCUGAUCCAGCAAUGCCGCGUGUGUGAAGAAGGCCUUCGGGUUGUAAAGCACUUUUGUCCGGAAAGAAAUGGCUCUGGUUAAUACCUGGGGUCGAUGACGGUACCGGAAGAAUAAGGACCGGCUAACUACGUGCCAGCAGCCGCGGUAAUACGUAGGGCUCCAAGCGUUAUCGGAAUUACUGGGCGUAAAGCGUGCGCAGGCGGUUGUGCAAGACCGAUGUGAAAUCCCCGAGCUUAACUUGGGAAUUGCAUUGGUGACUGCACGGCUAGAGUGUGUCAGAGGGGGGUAGAAUUCCACGUGUAGCAGUGAAAUGCGUAGAGAUGUGGAGGAAUACCGAUGGCGAAGGCAGCCCCCUGGGAUAACACUGACGCUCAUGCACGAAAGCGUGGGGAGCAAACAGGAUUAGAUACCCUGGUAGUCCACGCCCUAAACGAUGUCAACUAGUUGUUGGGGAUUCAUUUCCUUAGUAACGUAGCUAACGCGUGAAGUUGACCGCCUGGGGAGUACGGUCGCAAGAUUAAAAGCUC